UUUAUAAUUCUCUCUCAAAAACAAAACCCUUCACUAACCUUAAGCUCUCUUCCUCUUCCUUGAUUCGAAAUAAUCUACAGGAAGUGAGACAUAUAUCUAUAAAGAGGAUGGAGCGUCGCUAUCUAUGAUUGUGUUCAGAGGCGGAUCUAGCAAUGGGCUGGGUUUGGCUAUAGCCCAACCCCUGUCCCCAACCCACAUUAUAAAAAGGAAGAUGAUCAAACUCAGAAACUGGAGAAAUCUUGGGCUGUAAAUCAGCGGAGGGAGGUCUUAAUUGAAUUUGAGCUUUUGUCAUAAUAAUAUUUCGGCUUAUUUGUUUUAUUUUUCUUGCUCUGUAAAUUCCACACCUACAACGUCGUGGGAAAGCGACUAAUUAUAUUUUGUACUUGGACAUUUUUUAGGGUAGGCAUUCAAAUUUCUCCCAAAUUGGUUUUGGGAGGAUUGCUUAUUUGGACAUCAUAAGAAGUUGUUUUAGGGCCUGUUUGGGAGCGAUUCUUUCACCCAAAAAAUUGAUUUUUUGACCGUUA